CUCGUAGGCGGUUUGUCACGUCGGGAGUGAAAACUCAGGGCUCAACCCUGAGCGUGCUUCCGAUACGGGCAGACUAGAGGUAUUCAGGGGAGAACGGAAUUCCUGGUGUAGCGGUGGAAUGCGCAGAUAUCAGGAGGAACACCGGUGGCGAAGGCGGUUCUCUGGGAAUUACCUGACGCUGAGGAGCGAAAGCAUGGGGAGCGAACA
rnacentral:rRNA from 1 species